rnacentral:lncRNA from 1 species
AUGAUCAGCUUUCACUUGAAGGCAGUCAAACCACCUUUCCUAAUCUUUGUAUUCCUUUUCUCUCUCUACAAAGUUGGACUUGUAUCGAGCACUGGUGUUUCUCUCAGCCUCUCCAAGAUCCUGCCCCAUUUCUCCCUCAUGCAGGUGUUUCUCCUAAAACCAUCCGUUUCCAUUAAAUCACAGCGUGUCUGUUCUCAGGUCAAUCUUGGAGUCUCCUCAUCUGGGAACUCAGAUAAACCCAGGCAUCCUUCGUGUAACCUCUUCCAUCCAAGAAGUCUCCUCCUUCUAGGUCAGGUGCAGAGACAUCACCGUUCACACCCACAGAGGCAUUUCCAGCUGGUGCCCUCAACCAGCACUGGGGGACCGUCUUCCCUACAGGUACAGGUAGGAACUACUCUAGACUUCGCGGUCAGAGGGUCUCUGUGGUGACUUCUCAACACUUCGAGGCAGCCUGAAGCCUGAGGUCACCCUCACACGGCCCAGGAAGGCAGAAAGAGCAUGGCUAUCUGCCCAUAAGACAUUACUGAGGGACGCUGGGAUUCGCAUCUAAUCUCCUUGCAUCAACAAAGACUCCUCUUUCCGACCAGAAUGAGGGUCUCUCCGUUGCUAUGUUUCUUGACACUCGAUAUGUGAACCGCACAGCAGGCUGAUUUUUAAAAUAACAUUUUAAAUGUUUCAAGUAACAUUUUAAAAAAGGGUACACACGUUAAGAGGAACAUCGGGAGAAAAACUUGGAUCUGAGACCCAGCUCAGACACACCUAUGGUACAACUUGAAGAACCCGCAUCUGUGGAAAACGACGCAAUGGGAACUCCCCUGUUGCCCAAGUCUGUGGAUUUUGGAGCAGCAAACGUGGAGGAAAAUGGAGAGACUCUGUAUUACCGAUCAUUUCCUAAGAACGAAGGUCACGUGGAAAGGAGCUGAGGUGGCUGGGAUCUGAUUAUUAAAGCCUGCAAUGGAGAAACAUAGUACUUGCAAAUGUGACAACAAACACAGCCAGGAAAAAAAUAGAAUUUCAUCAUAUUUCCUCUCCGUCCUUCUGCCUUGUUUAAAAAGUCAUUAAUAGUUAUGGUAUCAAUUGAUUCACGUCCACAACUUAGUCGCCAUGAUGGGACUGCCCCCAAGGUGAAAAUCAUUCUGGAAUGCUCCGGUCAGCAGUAAAUCUUCAAUUCAGAGGUUGAUGGGGAUCAAUAAAGGACAGCUGGAAGGAAACA